ACUUAUCAAUCCUCUCUCCGUUCAGCAAACCAUCUUGUCAUCAUAGUCCGUAUCGCUUCUAACAGUCGAACUAUGGGAAGAUUUCUGGCUUUUGACAUUGCUUUGUUCAUUGAUUCCGCUAUAUUCGUAGUCAUUAAAUUGU
rnacentral:sRNA from 1 species